GGUAAAUAAACAAAUUGCUAUAUAUAACCUUAAUUUUCCAGUUACUAUUAUGAGAUUUUGAUGCUGAUGUUUCGUGACUUUAAUUUCAGGCGACAUGGGUCUGAGAGUUGGGCUGUUGUUUAUCUUCUUGUUGUGCUCAACCUGGGUUUGCAAUGCGAGACAACUGGGAGCUCCUGAGCUCUCUGGUAGGGAUCAUGAAGAUCUCUUAUCUAUUAACUUUUUUAUCCAGCUAUUUCUGCUAAGUCUAUUUUUCUGUUGCAUUCUGCAAUGUCAAUCUCCUUCUCUAGUAACUCUCAACUUUGUCCUCGCCAACACAUCCCCACUGCAAAUUGACACUGGGCUUCUAAACAAAACAAUUUUACUUUGAUGAUGCAAUUUGAAUUUGCUAUGGUGGUGGUAAAUUUUUUGUACUUGUGUUUUCAUUUUGUUCCUACUCCACUAGACCUUAUUAAUCAUGGCCCCUUAUUUGUGGUCUGAUAACAUUCUAAGAUUUAGGUGCUUAAGUUGGGAUAGAAAUUAUUUUUUGCAUUGGGGCAUGGCCAUCACAAUGAGAUUCACGUGUCUUUCUGAUUAUUUAAAUGGUGUGGGUUUGACUAGAUUUUAUUCCUCAUACCACAAUAUGAGGGUUGUACGGAGGAGAGUUGGUUUAUGUCUAUGGUGUUUGGUAUGAGAAGAU
rnacentral:lncRNA from 1 species